rnacentral:rRNA from 1 species
CAGCAGCCGCGGGAAUACGUAGGUGGCAAGCGUUGUCCGGAAUUAUUGGGCGUAAAGGGCUCGCAGGCGGUUUCUUAAGUCUGAUGUGAGAGCCCCCGGCUCAACCGGGGAGGGUCAUUGGAAACUGGGAAACUUGAGUGCAGAAGAGGAGAGUGGAAUUCCACGUGUAGCGGUGAAAUGCGUAGAGAUGUGGAGGAACACCAGUGGCGAAGGCGACUCUCUGGUCUGUAACUGACGCUGAGGAGCGAAAGCGUGGGGAGCGAACAGGAUUAGAUACCCCGGUAGUCCCUGUCUCUUAUAC